AUUGAACGCUGGCGGCAGGCCUAACACAUGCACGUCGAGCGGAGCGGCGGACGGGUGAGUAAUGCCUAGGAAUCUGCCUGGUAGUGGGGGAUAACGUCCGGAAACGGGCGCUAAUACCGCAUACUAUCAGAUGAGCCUAGGUCGGAUUAGCUAGUUGGUGGGGUAAAGGCCUACCAAGGCGACGAACCGGAACUGGUCUGAGAGGAUGAUCAGUCACACUGGAACUGUGACACGGUCCAGAGUCCUAUUGGAGGCAGCAGUGGGGAAUGUUGGACAAUGGGCGAAAGCCUUAUCCAGCCAUGCCGCGUAUGUGAAGAAGUUCUUCGGAUUGUAAAGCGCUUUAAGUUGGGAGGCGUUCCCAACAGAAUAAGCACCGGCUAACUUCGUGCCAGCAGCCGCGGUAAUUC
rnacentral:rRNA from 1 species